rnacentral:rRNA from 1 species
CAGCCGCCGCGGGAAUACGAGGGGGGCAAGCGUUGUUCGGAAUUAUUGGGCGUAAAGGGUGCGUAGGCGGAUCGUUAAGUUGGGGGUGAAAGCCCGGGGCUCAACCUCGGAAUUGCCUUCAAUACUGGCGAUCUUGAGUAUGGAAGAGGUAUGUGGAACUCCGAGUGUAGAGGUGAAAUUCGUAGAUAUUCGGAAGAACACCAGUGGCGAAGGCGACAUACUGGUCCAUUACUGACGCUGAGGCUCGAAAGCGUGGGGAGCAAACAGGAUUAGAUACCCCGGUAGUCCCUGUCUCUUAUAC